AUUGAACGCUGGCGGCAGGCCUAACACAUGCAAGUCGAGCGAGCGGCGGACGGGUGAGUAACGUAUGGGGACCGCCCGAUAGAGGGGGAUUACUACUGGAAACGGUAGCUAAUUCCGCAUAUUAUCGGAUAACCCAUAUGGUAUUGGCUAGUUGGUGGGGUAAUGGCUCACCAAGGCGACGAUCCCUAGCUGGUCUGAGAGGAUGAUCAGCCACAUAGGGACUGAGAUACGGCCCAGAGUCCGACGGAGGCAGCAGUGGGGGAUAUUGCACAAUGGGCGAAAGCCUGAUGCAGCGACGCCGAGUGGGGGAUGAAGGCUUUCGGGUUGUAAACCUCUUUCGCUAUCGAACGGGUAGGUGGAGAAGAAGCACCGGCUAACUUCGUGCCAGCAGCCGCGGUAAUUC
rnacentral:rRNA from 1 species